UUAAGCGACUAAGCGUACACGGUGGAUGCCCUGGCAGUCAGAGGCGAUGAAGGACGUGCUAAUCUGCGAUAAGCGUCGGUAAGGUGAUAUGAACCGUUAUAACCGGCGAUUUCCGAAUGGGGAAACCCAGUGUGUUUCGACACACUAUCAUUAACUGAAUCCAUAGGUUAAUGAGGCGAACCGGGGGAACUGAAACAUCUAAGUACCCCGAGGAAAAGAAAUCAACCGAGAUUCCCCCAGUAGCGGCGAGCGAACGGGGAGCAGCCCAGAGCCUGAAUCAGUGUGUGUUAGUGGAAGCGUCUGGAAAGGCGCGCGAUACAGGGUGACAGCCCCGUACACAAAAAUGCACAUGCUGUGAGCUCGAUGAGUAGGGCGGGACACGUGGUAUCCUGUCUGAAUAUGGGGGGACCAUCCUCCAAGGCUAAAUACUCCUGACUGACCGAUAGUGAACCAGUACCGUGAGGGAAAGGCGAAAAGAACCCCGGCGAGGGGAGUGAAAAAGAACCUGAAACCGUGUACGUACAAGCAGUGGGAGCACGCUUAGGCGUGUGACUGCGUACCUUUUGUAUAAUGGGUCAGCGACUUAUAUUCUGUAGCAAGGUUAACCGAAUAGGGGAGCCGAAGGGAAACCGAGUCUUAACUGGGCGUUAAGUUGCAGGGUAUAGACCCGAAACCCGGUGAUCUAGCCAUGGGCAGGUUGAAGGUUGGGUAACACUAACUGGAGGACCGAACCGACUAAUGUUGAAAAAUUAGCGGAUGACUUGUGGCUGGGGGUGAAAGGCCAAUCAAACCGGGAGAUAGCUGGUUCUCCCCGAAAGCUAUUUAGGUAGCGCCUCGUGAAUUCAUCUCCGGGGGUAGAGCACUGUUUCGGCAAGGGGGUCAUCCCGACUUACCAACCCGAUGCAAACUGCGAAUACCGGAGAAUGUUAUCACGGGAGACACACGGCGGGUGCUAACGUCCGUCGUGAAGAGGGAAACAACCCAGACCGCCAGCUAAGGUCCCAAAGUCAUGGUUAAGUGGGAAACGAUGUGGGAAGGCCCAGACAGCCAGGAUGUUGGCUUAGAAGCAGCCAUCAUUUAAAGAAAGCGUAAUAGCUCACUGGUCGAGUCGGCCUGCGCGGAAGAUGUAACGGGGCUAAACCAUGCACCGAAGCUGCGGCAGCGACACUAUGUGUUGUUGGGUAGGGGAGCGUUCUGUAAGCCUGUGAAGGUGUGCUGUGAGGCAUGCUGGAGGUAUCAGAAGUGCGAAUGCUGACAUAAGUAACGAUAAAGCGGGUGAAAAGCCCGCUCGCCGGAAGACCAAGGGUUCCUGUCCAACGUUAAUCGGGGCAGGGUGAGUCGACCCCUAAGGCGAGGCCGAAAGGCGUAGUCGAUGGGAAACAGGUUAAUAUUCCUGUACUUGGUGUUACUGCGAAGGGGGGACGGAGAAGGCUAUGUUGGCCGGGCGACGGUUGUCCCGGUUUAAGCGUGUAGGCUGGUUUUCCAGGCAAAUCCGGAAAAUCAAGGCUGAGGCGUGAUGACGAGGCACUACGGUGCUGAAGCAACAAAUGCCCUGCUUCCAGGAAAAGCCUCUAAGCAUCAGGUAACAUCAAAUCGUACCCCAAACCGACACAGGUGGUCAGGUAGAGAAUACCAAGGCGCUUGAGAGAACUCGGGUGAAGGAACUAGGCAAAAUGGUGCCGUAACUUCGGGAGAAGGCACGCUGAUAUGUAGGUGAAGUCCCUUGCGGAUGGAGCUGAAAUCAGUCGAAGAUACCAGCUGGCUGCAACUGUUUAUUAAAAACACAGCACUGUGCAAACACGAAAGUGGACGUAUACGGUGUGACGCCUGCCCGGUGCCGGAAGGUUAAUUGAUGGGGUCAGCGCAAGCGAAGCUCUUGAUCGAAGCCCCGGUAAACGGCGGCCGUAACUAUAACGGUCCUAAGGUAGCGAAAUUCCUUGUCGGGUAAGUUCCGACCUGCACGAAUGGCGUAAUGAUGGCCAGGCUGUCUCCACCCGAGACUCAGUGAAAUUGAACUCGCUGUGAAGAUGCAGUGUACCCGCGGCAAGACGGAAAGACCCCGUGAACCUUUACUAUAGCUUGACACUGAACAUUGAGCCUUGAUGUGUAGGAUAGGUGGGAGGCUUUGAAGUGUGGACGCCAGUCUGCAUGGAGCCGACCUUGAAAUACCACCCUUUAAUGUUUGAUGUUCUAACGUGGACCCGUGAUCCGGGUUGCGGACAGUGUCUGGUGGGUAGUUUGACUGGGGCGGUCUCCUCCUAAAGAGUAACGGAGGAGCACGAAGGUUGGCUAAUCCUGGUCGGACAUCAGGAGGUUAGUGCAAUGGCAUAAGCCAGCUUGACUGCGAGCGUGACGGCGCGAGCAGGUGCGAAAGCAGGUCAUAGUGAUCCGGUGGUUCUGAAUGGAAGGGCCAUCGCUCAACGGAUAAAAGGUACUCCGGGGAUAACAGGCUGAUACCGCCCAAGAGUUCAUAUCGACGGCGGUGUUUGGCACCUCGAUGUCGGCUCAUCACAUCCUGGGGCUGAAGUAGGUCCCAAGGGUAUGGCUGUUCGCCAUUUAAAGUGGUACGCGAGCUGGGUUUAGAACGUCGUGAGACAGUUCGGUCCCUAUCUGCCGUGGGCGCUGGAGAACUGAGGGGGGCUGCUCCUAGUACGAGAGGACCGGAGUGGACGCAUCACUGGUGUUCGGGUUGUCAUGCCAAUGGCACUGCCCGGUAGCUAAAUGCGGAAGAGAUAAGUGCUGAAAGCAUCUAAGCACGAAACUUGCCCCGAGAUGAGUUCUCCCUGACCCUUUAAGGGUCCUGAAGGAACGUUGAAGACGACGACGUUGAUAGGCCGGGUGUGUAAGCGCAGCGAUGCGUUGAGCUAACCGGUACUAAUGAACCGUGAGGCUUAACCUU
rnacentral:rRNA from 1 species